rnacentral:misc_RNA from 1 species
UUUCCGUAGGUGAACCAGCGGAAGGAUCAUUAUUGUAUAACCGAGGUGCGAGGGCUGUCGCUGACCCGAAAGGUCGUGCACGCCCGAGUGCCCUCACACACAUCCAUCUCACCCCUAUGUGCACCACCGCGUGGGUCCCCCUUUGGCUUGUUCGGAGGGGGGCUUACGUUUUCACACAAACUUUGUAUGCAGUGUAGAAUGUAUUUUCUGUUUUUGCGAUCACGCAAUCAAUACAACUUUCAACAACGGAUCUCUUGGCUCUC